AUUGAACGCUGGCGGCAUGCCUUACACAUGCAAGUCGAACGGCAGCACGGGGCAACCUGGUGGCGAGUGGCGAACGGGUGAGUAAUGCAUCGGAACGUACCUUUCAGUGGGGGAUAACGUAGCGAAAGUUACGCUAAUACCGCAUAUUCUGUGAGCAGGAAAGCAGGGGAUCGCAAGACCUUGCGCUGAUUGAGCGGCCGAUGUCAGAUUAGCUAGUUGGUGAGGUAAAGGCUCACCAAGGCGACGAUCUGUAGCGGGUCUGAGAGGAUGAUCCGGCACACUGGAACUGAGACGCGGUCCAGACUCCUACGGGAGGCAGCAGUGGGGAAUUUUGGACAAUGGGGGCAACCCUGAUCCAGCCAUGCCGCGUGAGUGAAGAAGGCCUUCGGGUUGUAAAGCUCUUUCGGCCGGGAAGAAAUCGCACGGGCUAAUACCCUGUGUGGAUGACGGUACCGGAAUAAGAAGCACCGGCUAACUACGUGCCAGCAGCCGCCGUAAUAC
rnacentral:rRNA from 1 species